GAUGAACGCUGGCGGCGUGCCUAAUACAUGCAAGUCGAGCGAACAGAUGAGGAGCUUGCUCCUCUGACGUUAGCGGCGGACGGGUGAGUAACACGUGGAUAACCUACCUAUAAGACUGGGAUAACUUCGGGAAACCGGAGCUAAUACCGGAUAAUAUAUUGAACCGCAUGGUUCAAUAGUGAAAGACGGUUUUGCUGUAACUUAUAGAUGGAUCCGCGCCGCAUUAGCUAGUUGGUAAGGUAACGGCUUACCAAGGCAACGAUGCGUAGCCGACCUGAGAGGGUGAUCGGCCACACUGGAACUGAGACACGGUCCAGACUCCUACGGGAGGCAGCAGUAGGGAAUCUUCCGCAAUGGGGGAGAGCCUGACGGAGCAACGCCGCGUGAGUUAUGAAGGUCUUCGGAUCGUAAAGCUCUGUUAUUAGGGAAGAACAAAUGUGUAAUUAACUAUGCACGUCUUGACGGUACCUAAUCAGAAAGCCACGGCUAACUACGUG
rnacentral:rRNA from 1 species